AGAAGAUAAUAAGAGUAAUGUUGCAUCGACAUAAGGGUGGGGUGGGGUGUUCAAUACCGUCCUACUCACGUUCUGAGGAAUUGAAACUGAAGAGCUGAACAAAGCCUACUUAACCUGUCCUCCUCGCACAUCGUGUACUUCUUUCUUACGUCUCACCAUGAAACUUCUUGGAGCUCUGAUCCUGGUUUUGAGUUUGUCUGCAGCAUGUGGAUUAAAAUGCUACGUAUGUGCAUUCUCUGACCCUCACUCCUGCACUGAUGCCUUAACUUGUCCUGCUGGUAUGGACCGAUGUUUCAGCCUUACUACAAGCGGUACCGUCACUAAAAGCUGCAUAAACAGUGUCCCAUGUGUCAGUCCUAUGAGCUGCUGUGAAGGGAACUUGUGCAACAGUGCUAUCCCAACUGGUCCCAGUGCUAUGCUCCUGCUGGUGUCUUCAGCCAUAAUCACCAUCUUCCUCUGAAGCUCUGGAACAACUACAUCUUAAUCAUGUUUUACUUUGUUCUUAACUAAAAAUUACAACCCAGGAAUAUUAAGCCAUUUUUAAAAUAAUGUAUGGAUAGUUCUUUUCAAUAAAACCACAAUAAUGUAUCAACUACUGAAUUGUUUAAUUCCUAGGAUUCUGCAAUUCACAUCACUACAGCAGAAAGAUUUUUUUGUGAGCUCUAACAGAAAGACAAACAGGACAGAAAAAUAGACGUUAUUGCGAGCAGAUCAAUCAUUUAUUUUUUUAGCUGUCUGAUAAAGACUUAUUUAAUUACUUUUUACAGUUAUUUCCACAAAUGCAGAAAUCACUUUUCCCACCCAUUUGAUGUGCUCACUCUGUG